CCUACGGGUGACAGCAGUGAGGAAUAUUGGUCAAUGGGCGUAAGCCUGAACCAGCCAAGUCGCGUGAGGGAUGAAGGUUCUAUGGAUCGUAAACCUCUUUUGUCAGGGAACAAAGGCGGGGACGUGUCCCCGGAUGAGUGUACCUGAAGAAAAAGCAUCGGCUAACUCCGUGCCAGCAGCCGCGGUAAUACGGAGGAUGCGAGCGUUAUCCGGAUUUAUUGGGUUUAAAGGGUGCGCAGGCGGUCUGUUAAGUCAGCGGUCAAAGCCCGGGGCUCAACCCCGGCCCGCCGUUGAAACUGGCAGUCUCGAGUUGGAGAGAAGUAUGCGGAAUGCGCGGUGUAGCGGUGAAAUGCAUAGAUAUCGCGCAGAACUCCGAUUGCGAAGGCAGCAUGCCGGCUCCACACUGACGCUGAGGCACGAAAGCGUGGGUAUCGAACAGGAUUAGAUACCCGUGUAGUC
rnacentral:rRNA from 1 species